rnacentral:lncRNA from 1 species
GUAAUGUGAGGUGAGUGGAUGUGGAGCAGAGGACGCUGUGCUGCUGAGCGCCGGUUUGUGCUGAGUGAUGGUUGAAUCGGCCCCAGGGGGGGAUGAGGUGGAUAAAGUGGGGGUCGUUCGGUUCUCUUUCAUUCUGUUCCUGCGGGUUUUCCGCGUCUGUAUUUUGUCACUUCCCAGUAUGCUGUCCUGUGGGAUUUCCCACCGUCGUCCGUGAAAAUUACCAUGUGAGGGCAUUCGGGGCAGGACUCAGUGAGUGGGCGCUGCAGCAUCCGGGAGCUUCAGGGCGAGGACCUUGAGAUGGCUUGUGAUCCGCUCAGUCUGUGAUUGGCUUAGGAGUCAGGCGAUGGAGCUUGAGGCCAGUGUAGGGUGCUUUGUGAGGGCGACCGCGUCGCUUUCUGGGCUGUUUGAGUAGCUGGUAACUGGAGCCCUGGCUCCUGGUCAAACACUGGCCUUCGAGAGGAGAUAAACUCCAAAGAGUAAGAGAAAACGGGGAAAUGAAUUUAUUUACGUUUGGUCCAAACUGGAGACCCAGUGCCCUCCAUCUCUGUCAGCCUAAGCAGUAUUAGCAAUAGAAGGCACUGCCUAGAAGCCAGGAGAUGUGUUUAGGUAUAUUUAAUGUGGUCACAGUUAUCUAAGCGGGGACAUAGCCUUGGGGCUGCCCUUAGGUGUUCUGGAUAUUUCCUUUCCCCCGUAUGCAACUGAAGAC